ACAAUCAAACCCUGUAUUAUUUACUAGGACUCGGGUUUUAUGGUUAUUCAAGGAAAUUAACCGUGUCAAAGUUAUACUGUCCCUAACUUUUCAUGUAUUAACUUAUUUGAAUGUUGUCUUUAUUGUCCAUUUGAGAAAUAUCGUUUACUUAGUAGAACUGAGAAUUCCCAGUUCUUAUGUCUUACUCACAUUUCUAACUCGUAUAUACAUGUAAGAUUGUAUCUUUCACAAAUAAAACUAUGAAAUAUAUAUUAUC
rnacentral:misc_RNA from 1 species